rnacentral:rRNA from 1 species
ACUCCUGCGGGAGGCAGCAGUGGGGAAUAUUGCACAAUGGGCGCAAGCCUGAUGCAGCCAUGCCGCGUGUAUGAAGAAGGCCUUCGGGUUGUAAAGUACUUUCAGCGGGGAGGAAGGCAAUACGGUUAAUAACCGUGUUGAUUGACGUUACCCGCAGAAGAAGCACCGGCUAACUCCGUGCCAGCAGCCGCGGUAAUACGGAGGGUGCAAGCGUUAAUCGGAAUUACUGGGCGUAAAGCGCACGCAGGCGGUCUGUCAAGUCGGAUGUGAAAUCCCCGGGCUCAACCUGGGAACUGCAUUCGAAACUGGCAGGCUUGAGUCUUGUAGAUGGGGGUAGAAUUCCAGGUGUAGCGGUGAAAUGCGUAGAGAUCUGGAGGAAUACCGGUGGCGAAGGCGGCCCCCUGGACAAAGACUGACGCUCAGGUGCGAAAGCGUGGGGAGCAAACAGGAUUAGAAACCCUAGUAGUCCCAUGAU